rnacentral:rRNA from 1 species
UACGAAGGGGGCUAGCGUUGCUCGGAUUGACUGGGCGUAAAGGGCGCGUAGGCGGUUCGUACAGUCAGACGUGAAAUUCCUGGGCUCAACCUGGGGGCUGCGUUUGAUACGUGCGGACUUGAGUGCGGAAGAGGGUCGUGGAAUUCCCAGUGUAGAGGUGAAAUUCGUAGAUAUUGGGAAGAACACCGGUGGCGAAGGCGGCGACCUGGUCCGAUACUGACGCUGAUGCACGAAAGCUAGGGGAGCAAACAGG